rnacentral:rRNA from 1 species
UACACUCCUGCGGGAGGCAGCAGUGGGGAAUUUUGGACAAUGGGCGAAAGCCUGAUCCAGCAAUGCCGCGUGAGUGAAGAAGGCCUUCGGGUUGUAAAGCUCUUUUGUCAGGGAAGAAACGGUGAGAGCUAAUAUCUCUUGCUAAUGACGGUACCUGAAGAAUAAGCACCGGCUAACUACGUGCCAGCAGCCGCGGUAAUACGUAGGGUGCAAGCGUUAAUCGGAAUUACUGGGCGUAAAGCGUGCGCAGGCGGUUUUGUAAGUCUGAUGUGAAAUCCCCGGGCUCAACCUGGGAAUUGCAUUGGAGACUGCAAGGCUAGAAUCUGGCAGAGGGGGGUAGAAUUCCACGUGUAGCAGUGAAAUGCGUAGAUAUGUGGAGGAACACCGAUGGCGAAGGCAGCCCCCUGGGUCAAGAUUGACGCUCAUGCACGAAAGCGUGGGGAGCAAACAGGAUUAGAAACCCCGGUAGUCCCAUG